CUCGCUUUACGACACGCUGUCACCGCUCACGUGGGAAACAGUGUUGUGGCCAAAAAACGUCAACCAGCCUGACGGGAAGAGGAGAGCAAUGCUUGUUGAUAAUAACAAAGAAACAAAGAGAUGGGAAGAAUGGCGGGACUGCAGCUCCAGCUGAUGCGCUCUGUUUAUUUUACCGGCGGCCAGCGGUUUUAAAUGGACACAAUAAAGUUAUAAAGUUUUAAUAGAUUUAUCAUUUAGUUUUCGUUAGAUGCGACAUUCCAGGACUGCAGAGGUCACGUGAAUUCUCUCCCCGAAACAGACAACCCUAAAAUCUUCGGCAUGCAUCCGCAGUGUUAUGAGAGCGUACCUGCCAUUCCGGCCGCAGGUGUUCCUAAAUACCGUAGUGAGCGUGCAAAUCCAGAAUAAGAACGGAGCACGCAAUAUACAGGAUCUGGCUCAUCAGUGCGGUCAUAGCUCAGGAGAUCAGAUGGGACAUCAUGGAUCUGCACGCUGGGAGCAUGGUUCAGCAUCUUUAAGUUUUCAAAUAUAGUCUGCCUAAUCUGAUCUAAAUACUAAAGGAAGAGA